rnacentral:rRNA from 1 species
GACGAACGCUGGCGGCGUGCUUAACACAUGCAAGUCGAACGGACAGACCCUGCUCUUGUGGGUUUCUCGAGUGGCGCGCAGGUGAGUAUCACAUGAGUAACAUGCACUUGUCUUACUGAUAACUUCUGGGGACUGCGGCUCAUACAGGAUAGAAGCUCCUGCUGCAUAGUGGUGGUUGGUAAGUUUCGGCGGUAGGGGCUGGUAUCGCGGGUUAUCAGCUUGUUGGUCGGGUAGUGGCUUACCAAGCCUAUGACGGGUAGCCGGCCUGAGAGGGUGACCGGCGACAUGGGGACUGAGAGAGGGAGCAGACGCCAACGGGAGGCAGUGGGCGGGAACAUGGCACAACGGCGCGACGCCUGAGGCAGAAAUGCCGCGUGCGGGAUGACGGCUUUCGGGUGGUAAACCGCUGUCGCCUGAGAUGAAGCGUGAUUGACGGUAAUGGGUAAAGAAGCAACGGCUAACUACGUG